AUCCCUAGUGUUCUCACGUCAUAGCAAUUUAAUGCAUUUUGUCAGGCUUAUAAGAAUGAGUGCUUUACUAACCUAAGGCUACCUGGUAAGUAAACAGAACUUGAAAGGAAAUGCAUCAUUUACUGUAUUCAGGUGGUGCUUGAAGGAACUCUCAUCAAAUCCCGCAGUAGAGAAGUCUUCACAGGUUUGAAGGAUUUUCUCCCUAAAUCUGAAAAGUAAAACAAGGCCUCUUUGAAUAAACAGUGAGUUCAGUUUAUUUGAAUGUCAAAAAUUAUAACUGACCUCUGCAGAGCCCUGGGAUUGUGUAAGACUGACUCCAAGUAUGAGAAGAAGAGGGCUCUGUAGAAGCAGUUUCCAUCUCCACGCACUUGUCUGACGGUGUGGAACUGGCUGCUUAAAUCCUAACAAAGGACAAUAGGUGGGAUUAAUAUGGGGCGGACACUUUGAUUUAGGAAGGGAGACCAUGACCACAUACAGUAAACGACCCCACCCCAAAUAAAUGUCAUACUUUAUAUUUGGCACCCGGUGUGUGCUCGGGGAACAGCGUAGAAAUGUCCUCUCGGUAUGAGACAAGGCUGCCUGCCUCCAUCUGUCGAGAAACAAACAGCUUUACUAUUUUCGGACCAAACUGUUUCCGGGCCCGCACGACAGACCUUCGGAUUACAACAAAAUGGAAACACGAGCUGUUCUACUUGUGAUGGCAGACCCCGACUCCAUCAGUCUCCUCGCUCUCCUCUCUGUGUCUGCCUUGUCCUGGAUGUACUCCUGAAAUCAUACUCUUCAUAAGUUAAAAGUUGUCGCUGGCCCUGCUCCACCUCCUCCUCCAGAUGUC